AAAAGCCUGUUGCCCCAAUAGCCUCAACAGUGGAGACAUCUGCUGUGGAGGUUGACUUACUUUCGCUGUGUUCCUGGGGUGGAACACAGCCCUGACGCAUGUCUAUUUCACCUUACCUCAUUUUCUUUGGGAAAUCCCUUCAUUAGGAAUUCCAAGCCAAUGGUUGGAAGUGGCAUGUUUGAUGGAAUGUUGAGGAUUGAGGGAAAGUCUGAGAGGAAGCUUGAGCAUCUCAGGGGAGCCCAGGAGGCCCAGACAAAUUGCUUGCUCUGAGUUUGUGCAGAAGUGUCCAUCUUGUGAGUGGCAGGCGACGUAUUUUCAGUUGUGUGAUUAAAUGGGAAGAAUCUUUGUUCACUGAAGCCUAUCCCUGCCCAUGCCUGUCCUACUGCUAGCUUGUCCAAAGCUCUCUGCCAACCUCCAACUUCUGCCGUGAAGCGGACCCAAAAUAGUUUCAAAGGCUCAGAGGCAACUUGAUAUCAAAAUUUUCUCCACAAGUAUUAAAGUUAGCCCUGUGAAUGCCAAAGGCCUUGCAAAAGUUUUCAUGACUAUUUCUACUCCAUUUCACAGUUGAUGAGGCUUCAGUAAUUUUAAAAAAUACUGACGGAGCAGUGCAGCGCUUGCCUGGCAAGUGCGAGGUCUAAUUUCCGGUAUCAAACAAAACCAAACAAAAUGAAAAAAAUCUACUGCUGGAGGUUUAAUAGGUACUAGUCCAUUUCAAGAAGUGCAAUGAGAGGGUGAGCAGAGAUAGAUACUGACAGAACAGAAAAUAGGAUUCGCUGACAGGAUAGAAAAAGGGCAUGAAAUCUGUCGGGAGGUAUCAGUCUUCUGGCCUGAUGGACGGUGGCUUCAUCAACGGAGAAAUGAUGCUUGGAGGAAGAUCCUGCUGGUGGAGGAGAUUGCAGGUUUAACUCUGGACAUUUUCAGUCUUCAGUGCCACAGAGUCAUCAGGGACAUAGGAAUCAUUGACAGGAAGGGCUGGACCAGAAAUGUUCAUUUUUGUGCCAUUUGAGAGCCACUGAGGGACAGUCAUGCAUAAGACUGUAAGGAAUCAAAGAGCAUACAGUAAGAAGAGAAGACCUAGUAUCACAUUUUGAGAAACUUCAAAAUUUAACUGCCGAUGAAAGAAAGAUGAAAUUGAGAGAGAGAAGGCCACACCAAGAAGCAAGCCCAGUCUGGGAACCAGCGCCAUGCAUGGGCCACCACAGACUGGAACAGCCAGACCCCAGCCCCUUCCAGCACGCAGGCUGGCCAACAAGAAGCCCCCUAACCCCCACACUGUAAGCAACCAGCUUAUCCAGAGAAACACAGGCUGUGAUGACAGCCAUGGAGGUGAAAUGCAAUUGGGUGCCUGUGGUGCUUUGGUGUUUCACUAACACGGUAGAUCUAGGGCCCGUGGUAUGAUCAUGGGCUCAGAGGAUAGCAGUAGCAGUGUGGCAUCUAGGGGGGAUCUUCUUCAGAGGGUUGCAGCCAUUGUUGAUUCCUUAUGGUCUUGUUUUGGAAAUCCUAUGUUGUUUCCAUUGUUUUCUUGGGUUGCGUUUUAUUCUCUUGUUUAUGUUAAAUCAAAUGGCAAGAGCAGCUAUUUCAAAGAUAGCAAGAUAUAUUAUGGUAGCCAUUUUGAACUUAUUAUUGGCUUGUUUUGAAGUCCUUUAUUGCAUUCAUUGCCUUGUUUUUAUUGUUUCUAUUCUAUUCUGUUCUGUUUGAUUUUUACUAUGUCCGAAGUUAUCUGCAACUAUUUUGAAGACAUCAAGAGACAUUAUUGUAACUAUUGUUGAUUUCAUAAUGUUUUGAAGUCCUGUAUUUCUUACACGGUUUGUUUCGAUUGGUUUAAUAAUAUUGUUUUAUCCUCUUAAAAAAUUUUUUUUUUAAAAAGAUGAAAUUGAA